rnacentral:tRNA from 1 species
GCCUAGUUAGCUUACUUGGUAGUGCGUCUGCCUUGUAAGCGCUAGGCCGCGGGUUCGAUUCCCGCCCGGAGCG